GGUCAUUACAACGUGCUGUAGUUCAGUCCACGAGCAAAGUGCAGUUUUAUGACAGAGUCCACAAUUGGCGACCCGGUAGUCCAUCGCCGGCAGCCAUGGGAAGUCCAUCAAUGUCGUCCGCAAUGUCCAACAGGGAACAACACCAUCGGGAGUUCACUUCUUCUAAUCCCUUGUUGAUGCUUUAGAGUUGAGUAAAGAAACUAUGGGGACAGUGAAGCAAAAUCUUUGGUGGGAUUUUCUGUAUAACAAUGUUUGGGAUUUCAUGCCGACAAUAAAAAGAGACUCAAAAUCUUGUACAGCUCCUCUCAUGCUAUGUGUAAAAGGUUACAGGGAAGUACUGUAGUGCGCGGCCCAGCAGUCCACCCGUCCGCUAAGACGCAGCGCUGCGCCAUCGCAGGAGGCAGUGCGGCAGUUGAGUCAUCCACUGGAGGCUAUGCCUGCAAUUUCUAAUUUUCUGCUGCUAGCUUGUUUUGAUGUUUGAAUAUACUCUCUUAGUAUAAUUUCUGUUGCCAAGCUUGUCUGGCUAAUUUCUGCCUGAUGCACAGUACACAUUAUUUGUAAUUCGGUAACCUUUUAU